UGUUCAAACAUCCGUGAUUUUUAUUUCUCUUCUUGAGAUAGCAAGUAUUUAUUUACCAGCAGAGCAAGACACACUCUGACCUUUGAAAGAUGCACAACUGAUUUUGAAUCUUUUAGCUUUAGGUCAAAGAAGGAAGAGCAAUUUGGGACUUUAUGAUACAUUUUUCAGUUUGUCCUUUGAUAAUUAAAUGUUGUGUCUACUUGGCCAUACUUUUGUGCAUUUACAGAUUAUUUUUGGUUUGAUUGCAGAGGGAGGUAGAAAAAAUUGUUGCAGUUGCAUGGAACAUCUUUCAACCUUUUCUUUUUGGUUUAAUCGGAGCAGAAGUAUCUGUUACAUCUCUUAGGCCUGAAACUGUUGGACUCUGUGUUGCUACAUUAGCCAUUGCCCUCGUUGUGCGACUCAUAGUGACGUUCCUGAUGGUGUGUUUUGCUGGGUUUAAUUUCAAGGAGAAAGUAUUUGUCUCGUUGGCGUGGAUGCCCAAAGCCACUGUCCAGGCUGCAAUAGGUUCCCUUGCCCUGGAUACAGCAAGAAGUCAUCAGGAUGAGCAACUGGAAAAAUAUGGGAUGGAUGUACUGACGGUAGCUUUCUUGGCUAUCUUGAUCACCGCUCCAAUCGGAGCCCUGGCUAUUGGCUUGGCAGGGCCCAGACUUUUGCAGAAGGCUCAGACAAAUAACCAGGAGGAUGAGGAAGGUGCUGAGGCUGUAGAAGAGGCAGAGGCCUGUGAACCUUCGUAAGAGACCACUACAGGAAUAUAGUCCUUCUGCCCUUACGCUUCCGCUGAGUAAACACAGCGUGUCUGUAAUCUUUCUGGAGGAAACCAAAACAAGUGUCAGCUACGUCUGCUAUUUUAAAAGCAGCCCUGGUGGAAUUUUAUAAAAUAUUUUUAUAUGUUGAUGGUGCCUUGAGAUGAAAUAUCUGAACGUACAGUGAAUAGGCUGGCCAGGCAGUGAGUCACUGAGAAGUCAGCAGUCAACAGUUACUUGAAACGUGUGGGUGUGAGGCCAGGGAGAGGAUGAGAAUUGUUCAGGCAUGGAGUGGAGUCAUGACGUGGAAUAUAAACAGAAGAAGAUGGAGACUAAUGUGAAUAACUUCUUGAUGGUUGAAACUGGGCUGUGAGAAGGCAAAUUCAACAGCUCAAAGAAUGCAACUUCUGAAUUAGAGACUGCUGACAACAGUGAACGAGUCCUGCCACGGGUUGGCGGUUCCCUCUUUCCUCAUUUGAGUUCCAAAACUUGCCUUUUCCUAUUGCUGUUCUUCCUCACAGCUCAUGCACCCCUUUGUGCCUCCAAGGGAC